AUUAGCUCUAGCUCUCUUCUGCCAGCCAGUACAGCUGGGAUGGGCUGCAGUGUCUACACACACACAUAUGCACGCACACACAGAGCCUGAGGGUCCAGUUUCCUGGGUGCUCUAGGAUCCACCAGAGCUCCCUCUUAUUCCUUAUCAUGGGUCCGUCUGAAGCUGUGAUCUCUUUGAAGGCUGAUGGAAACUGUAUUCGACAUGUAGCUUUCAGUAGGAAGGAUCAACCCAUUGCCUGUAUCAUCCCCACUUAAGGUGACUGAUCCCUCUCUGGAGGCAGCAGAGACGUAGAGGAGCUCUUUAAAACCACGCAGCAGACGGCCACUCCAUGGGAGUAUCCAUUUUGACAAAAUAGACUGUGGAUUUGUCCGAAGAACUCAGGCAGCAGGGAUUGUGGCCUCCUCCUUGGUCUCAUGCUUGAAGACUUUUUCUCCCAGUAAUGAGAGUGCCGAGCGAGCAGGCCUUUCCCCGACAGUGCUGGCAGCAGGACAACUUGUGCCCGGGAUGGAUUUUUCUUCAUUGAUUCUAAUCUUCUUCCUGACUGUCUGUCUUGGCUGCUUUGACAUAUUGAACACUGAAUAGUCCCUGAGUAAUUCUUGAACAUUUGGGGAUCGUUUUUAUUUUUACAAGACAGUAGAAUCCAAUGGAGUGAUUUAUACAUGUACUAGAAGAAAAUGAAGAAAAAAAUAACAAAGUGGUUUCAUUCUGGGAAUAAACACGGACUCAAUGACGAUUAAAAACCACACCAAACAAAAGGUUCGCACCCAAUUUUCAAUAAUUCCAUAAUUUUGUAAGGAUACACAGAAUCAUGUAGAGAUGAACAGUAACGGAUAAAGGGCUUUCACAGCUGUGGCUUCAACCAUGAUUGAUGAGAAAAUGCUACUGAAGGGAGAAAAGGAAAAUGAAUAUUUAUUAAUGGAAUAAAGUGUCGGGGGCUUAAAAUCUAAGGAGAUCCAUCAUUUCAUAUUCAAGGUUGGAUGCAUUCAAAACAGAAGGUUCAAUACACUGGCCCCAUAGCUGAGCGGUAGACCAGAAAAAUUCACAGGCACUGCCAUCGUUUGGACCAUGGGGGACUUCCUGGGGAUGUUAUUCCCAUUUCAGCCCCCAUUAACAUCACCUGAACAGGGCAACAUUACAUGAGUUAUUACUCCAAGAAUGCUGUGACAACAAUUGCCUUCACAUUUUAGAACACCCAGAGCUAUGUGGUCUGGUCAUUCACCCAGAAAUUAAUAUAUCAUGUCUGCAUACUUUCUCUGUAUAUGGUAGUUAUGGCCUCUGUGCUGACAGCUUGGAAAUUAUUGGUAAGAUUUUUUUUUCUACCAUGACUUCAUCAGUUCUCCCUUGUACCUUAUAAGGGUAAUAUUUAGCCAACCAAUAGUACCUCUUCAAAUCUCCUUGCAUAUUUUCUCCCCAUAGAAACUCUACCCUGUGCUUGUUCUCUUUAGGUUGGUCAAUUAGU